UAGAGUUUGAUCMUGGCUCAGGACGAACGCUGGCGGCGUGCCUAAUACAUGCAAGUCGAGCGGACCGAAUGAGAGCUUGCUCUURUUUGGUCAGCGGCGGACGGGUGAGUAACACGUGGGCAACCUGCCCGCAAGACCGGGAUAACUCCGGGAAACCGGAGCUAAUACCGGAUAACACCGAAGACCGCAUGGUCUUCGGUUGAAAGGCGGCCUUUGGCUGUCACUUGCGGAUGGGCCCGCGGCGCAUUAGCUAGUUGGUGAGGUAACGGCUCACCAAGGCGACGAUGCGUAGCCGGCCUGAGAGGGUGACCGGCCACACUGGGACUGAGACACGGCCCAGACUCCUACGGGAGGCAGCAGUAGGGAAUCUUCCGCAAUGGACGAAAGUCUGACGGAGCGACGCCGCGUGAGCGAAGAAGGCCUUCGGGUCGUAAAGCUCUGUUGUGAGGGACGAAGGAGCGCCGUUUGAACAAGGCGGCGCGGUGACGGUACCUCACGAGAAAGCCCCGGCUAACUACGUGCCAGCCGCCGCGGUAAUWCA
rnacentral:rRNA from 1 species